UGAGAACACCAUCGCGGUUAACCCUUUCCUCGCGGUCAAGUCUGCCUUCACAAAGAGCGCGGAGCCUG
rnacentral:SRP_RNA from 1 species